rnacentral:rRNA from 1 species
CCUACGGGAGGCACCAGUGGGGAAUAUUGCACAAUGGGCGCAAGCCUGAUGCAGCCAUGCCGCGUGUAUGAAGAAGGCCUUCGGGUUGUAAAGUACUUUCCGCGGGGAGGAAGGCGAUAAGGUUAAUAACCUUGUCGAUUGACGUUACCCGCAGAAGAAGCACCGGCUAACUCCGUGCCAGCAGCCGCGGUAAUACGGAGGGUGCGAGCGUUAAUCGGAAUUACUGGGCGUAAAGCGCAUGCAGGCGGCCUGUUAAGUCAGAUGUGAAAGCCCCGGGCUCAACCUGGGAACUGCAUCUGAUACUGGCAAGCUUGAGUCUCGUAGAGGGGGGUAGAAUUCCAGGUGUAGCGGUGAAAUGCGUAGAGAUCUGGAGGAAUACCGGUGGCGAAGGCGGCCCCCUGGACGAAGACUGACGCUCAGGUGCGAAAGCGUGGGGAGCAAACAGGAUUAGAUACCCGCGUAGUC